rnacentral:rRNA from 1 species
GGGGAAUUGUUCGCAAUGGGCGCAAGCCUGACGACGCAACGCCGCGUGGAGGAUGAAGAUCUUCGGGUCGUAAACUCCUUUCGAUCGGGAAGAACGUUUUCGGUGUGAACAACACCGAGAAGUGACGGUACCGGGUGAGGAAGCCCCGGCUAACUCUGUGCCAGCAGCCGCGGUAAUACAGAGGGGGCAAGCGUUGUUCGGAAUUACUGGGCGUAAAGGGCGCGUAGGCGGCCUUCUAAGUCGAACGUGAAAUCCCUGGGCUCAACCCAGGAACUGCGUCCGAUACUGGGAGGCUUGAAUCCGGGAGAGGGAUGCGGAAUUCCAGGUGUAGCGGUGAAAUGCGUAGAUAUCUGGAGGAAUACCGGUGGCGAAGGCGGCAUCCUGGACCGGCAUUGACGCUGAUGAGCGAAAGCUAGGGGAGCAAAC